UGUCUAGUAUAAGCAUUAUACCGUGAAACUGCGAAUGGGCUCAUUAAAUCAGUUAUCGUUUAUUUGAUAGUACCUUACUACUUGGAUAACCGUGGUAAUUCUAGAGCUAAUACAUGCUGAAAACCCCAACUUCGGGAGGGGUGUAUUUAUUAGAUAAAAAACCAACGCCCUUCGGGGCUUCUUGGUGAUUCAUGAUAACUUCACGGAUCGCAUGGCCUUGCGCCGGCGACGGUUCAUUCAAAUUUCUGCCCUAUCAACUUUCGAUGGUAAGGUAUUGGCUUACCAUGGUUUCAACGGGUAACGGGGAAUUAGGGUUCGAUUCCGGAGAGGGAGCCUGAGAAACGGCUACCACAUCCAAGGAAGGCAGCAGGCGCGCAAAUUACCCAAUCCCGACACGGGGAGGUAGUGACAAUAAAUACUGAUACAGGGCUCUUUUGGGUCUUGUAAUUGGAAUGAGUACAAUUUAAACCUCUUAACGAGGAACAAUUGGAGGGCAAGUCUGGUGCCAGCAGCCGCGGUAAUUCCAGCUCCAAUAGCGUAUAUUAAAGUUGUUGCAGUUAAAAAGCUCGUAGUUGAAACUUGGGCCUGGCUGGCAGGUCCGCCUCACCGCGUGUACUUGUCCGGCCGGGCCUUUCCUUCUGGAGAACCUCAUGCCCUUCACUGGGUGUGUUGGGGAACCAGGACUUUUACUUUGAAAAAAUUAGAGUGUUCAAAGCAGGCCUUUGCUCGAAUACGUUAGCAUGGAAUAAUAGAAUAGGACGUGCGGUCCUAUUUUGUUGGUUUCUAGGACCGCCGUAAUGAUUAAUAGGGACAGUCGGGGGCAUCAGUAUUCAAUUGUCAGAGGUGAAAUUCUUGGAUUUAUUGAAGACUAACUACUGCGAAAGCAUUUGCCAAGGAUGUUUUCAUUAAUCAGUGAACGAAAGUUAGGGGAUCGAAGACGAUCAGAUACCGUCGUAGUCUUAACCGUAAACUAUGCCGACUAGGGAUCGGGCGAUGUUCUUUUUCUGACUCGCUCGGCACCUUACGAGAAAUCAAAGUUUUGGGUUCUGGGGGGAGUAGGUCGCAGGGUGAAACUUAAGAAUUGACGGAAGG
rnacentral:rRNA from 1 species